rnacentral:rRNA from 1 species
AACGAACGCUGGCGGCAUGCCUAACACAUGCAAGUCGAACGAGACCUUCGGGUCUAGUGGCGCACGGGUGCGUAACGCGUGGGAACCUGCCCUUAGGUUCGGAAUAACUCCCCGAAAGGGGUGCUAAUACCGGAUAAUGUCUUCGGACCAAAGAUUUAUCGCCUUGGGUGGGCCCGCGUUGGAUUAGCUAGUUGGUAGGGUAAAAGCCUACCAAGGCGACGGUCCAUAGCUGGGUUGGGAGGGUGCUCAGCCACACUGGGACUGAGACACGGCCCAGACUCCUACGGGAGGCAGCAGUGGGGAAUAUUGGACAAUGGGCGAAAGCCUGAUCCAGCAAUGCCGCGUGAGUGAUGAAGGCCUUAGGGUUGUAAAGCUCUUUUACCCGGGAUGAUAAUGACAGUACCGGGAGAAUAAGCUCCGGCUAACUCCGUG